UACGUAGGGUGCGAGCGUUAAUCGGAAUUACUGGGCGUAAAGCGUGCGUAGGCGGUUCGCUGUGUCCGAUGUGAAAGCCCCGGGCUUAACCUGGGAAUGGCAUUGGAAACUGGCGGGCUUGAGUGCGGCAGAGGGGGGUGGAAUUCCGCGUGUAGCAGUGAAAUGCGUAGAGAUGCGGAGGAACACCGAUGGCGAAGGCAGCCCCCUGGGUCGACACUGACGCUCAGGCACGAAAGCGUGGGAGCAAACAGG
rnacentral:rRNA from 1 species